rnacentral:rRNA from 1 species
UACGGAGGGUGCGAGCGUUAAUCGGAAUUACUGGGCGUAAAGCGCGCGUAGGUGGUUGAAUAAGUCGAUUGUGAAAUCCCCGGGCUUAACCUGGGAAUUGCAUUCGAUACUGUUCAGCUAGAGUGUGGUAGAGGGAAGCGGAAUUCCGGGUGUAGCGGUGAAAUGCGUAGAUAUCCGGAGGAACACCAGUGGCGAAGGCGGCUUCCUGGACCAACACUGACACUGAGGCGCGAAAGCGUGGGGAGCAAACAGG